rnacentral:rRNA from 1 species
CCUACGGGAGGCUGCAGUGAGGAAUAUUGGUCAAUGGUCGGGAGCCUGAACCAGCCAAGUCGCGUGAGGGAAGACGGUCCUAUGUAUUGUAAACCUCUUUAGUCGGGGAGCAAUGCCGGGCACGUGUGCCCGGAGGGAGAGUACCCGCAGAAUAAGCAUCGGCUAACUCCGUGCCAGCAGCCGCGGUAAUACGGAGGAUGCGAGCGUUAUCCGGAUUUAUUGGGUUUAAAGGGUGCGUAGGCGGAUUUUUAAGUCAGCGGUAAAAUGUCCGGGCUCAACCCGGGCCGGCCGUUGAAACUGGGGAGCUUGAGUGGGCGAGAAGUAUGCGGAAUGCGUGGUGUAGCGGUGAAAUGCAUAGAUAUCACGCAGAACUCCGAUUGCGAAGGCAGCAUACCGGCGCCCGACUGACGCUGAGGCACGAAAGCGUGGGGAUCGAACAGGAUUAGAUACCCCUGUAGUC